rnacentral:tRNA from 6 species
GGGCGAGUGGUGAAACCCGGUAAACACGCAUGUUCGAGGGGCAUGUGCCGCAAGGCUUGAGGGUUCAAAUCCCUCCUCGCCCA